GCCUGCUGGCCACCUACCCAGCUGACAUGGGGACCAUCGGAGCCAGGCAGCUGUGCUGGGCGAUCCUGGGCUUGCUCUUCCUCCAAGGACCCUGUAGCAGUUUAAGUCUGGUCACGGAGCCAACUUCUCCCAAUACAGGAGAAAAAUCUUCCUCCGAGUUUGGCAGCCCAAGGCUUCUUUUCAGCUCCAGUAUCCCAGCAACUUCGCAGAAGACCCCACAAAGCCCCCUGGGAUCCAGGAACCCUGUAACAGGGAGAUCAAGUGUCACAGAUGGGCACUCCUUUAAGAACCUGACUCAGGCCCAGGCACAGAAGCACACAGCGGAACUUAGUGAGUACCCAGGGUGGGAGGGGCAGGGGGUGAAGAA
rnacentral:lncRNA from 1 species